rnacentral:lncRNA from 1 species
ACUUUCACGUGCACUUUUCGACGAUUCCGUCAUAUGUGUUCGGCCUCCUUACCUCUAGUCUCCAUGGAUGGAAUGAUCGACGAUUGAUGGGUAAACAUGGGUUUUCAUUUCAUUGCCCUGAUGUCAGGGUGAAAAAAAUCCUCUCCGUAUAUUUGAACCUAUUUGAAAUUUAAGGAGACUCAUUGUAGUUUCCAAGUGUUCGUUGAUGCGUGUAUAUAAAAAGAAUAAACAGUGAUAUAGAGAUUAGUUGAAUUGUACAGUUUCAUGUUUCGUUCGCUAUUUCUUCGUUGAUCAAUAAAUUCAUCACAUCGGCGCCCAAAUAAAAGAGAAAACAAAGCAUAUAUAAUAUUGAUUGAACGAACGUAUUUAGAAGAUCGAAAGACAAGAAGCUGCAAAUAGAGGACAAAAUCGCCGAGACGGACGAUAAACUCGAAACUAAGACGGUCAAAGAAGCAACAACGAAGGAAGGAGCGAAACAGUUGAAAAAAGAGUUGAAACAGAUGAUGGAGCAGAUGUUUGCGCGACAGCAACAAACCGAAAAUGUCUCUGCAGAAUCAGAGGAAUUACGUAAGCAAAAUGACUUGCAAAGAAGAGAAAUAGAAAAUUCAAUAUCAAAUACCAAUCAACAUCAAGUCAGCAAUGAAAAUAGUAAAAUUAGCGGAUCACUAACAAAUAUACAACAAAUGCGAAUUAACAUCAAAAUAUUGAAAUUUUUUGAAGAAGGAAACAUAAAUUCAAAUGAGUCUAUGGAAGAUGCGUUAAAAUUAUUUAAAACUCAAACAUAUUACAUUUGAGGGUCAAUUGUUUGUUGCUGAAAGCACAUGGAAGAGAACGAUUUUUCGAGUUUAAAGGUUUUGAAAAUGCGUUUUUCAAAGGAUCUCAUUCGAUACAGUUACAAAUAAAGGUAGAAGGAAUUACGCGAAUAUGGAUCAUGUGAUGGGAAUGGUGAUUAGAGUUAGAGAGGCUCUUGCAUCAGCAAAUUUUGGGAAUCAAAAUGAGAUAGUGCAAGCAUUGUCGGAUAUUGGAUGCGGUAUAUGAAGCAAGACAUAAGGAAGACCAGUGGAGUGAAAAAAAAUUCAAGGACAAUACUAGUCAAAUGAACCCUGGUCACAACAUGUAACGUCAAGUUAAUCCUCACUAAGCCGGGAGAUAUGUAAACAACGAUGAGAGUUCAAACGCGUAUGCUAUUUAAAACAAAGUCAUGAUUAUCAAUACAUGUCAAUAAAUCAGUGAAAUGUUAUUUCUCAACCUUAUGAAGUAUUCGAACAAACUAAGUGUUCAUCCAAAUAGUAAAAACCGUUAAGUAAAUAGUUAUCCAUAAAAUAAUGAAAUUGUUUUUCCAUACAUGCAAUAUCCACCAGUA